rnacentral:rRNA from 1 species
UACGAAGGGUGCAAACGUUGCUCGGAAUUACUGGGCGUAAAGCGUGCGCAGGCGGCUUUGCAAGACAGAUGUGAAAUCCCCGGGCUUAACCUGGGAACUGCAUUUGUGACUGCAUGGCUAGAGUGCGGCAGAGGGGGAUGGAAUUCCGCGUGUAGCAGUGAAAUGCGUAGAUAUGCGGAGGAACACCGAUGGCGAAGGCAGCCCCCUGGGUUAACACUGACGCUCAUGCACGAAAGCGUGGGGAGCAAACAGG